CAGCCGCCGCGGUAAUACGUAGGAGGCAAGCGUUGUCCGGAAUUAUUGGGCGUAAAGGGCUCGCAGGCGGUUUCUUAAGUCUGAUGUGAAAGCCCCCGGCUCAACCGGGGAGGGUCAUUGGAAACUGGGAAACUUGAGUGCAGAAGAGGAGAGUGGAAUUCCACGUGUAGCGGUGAAAUGCGUAGAGAUGUGGAGGAACACCAGUGGCGAAGGCGACUCUUUGGUCUGUAACUGACGCUGAGGAGCGAAAGCGUGGGGAGCGAACAGGAUUAGAUACCCCGGUAGUCCCUGUCUCUUAUAU
rnacentral:rRNA from 1 species